rnacentral:tRNA from 1 species
UGGGAUGUCGUCUAGUGGUAGGACUGCGGAUUCUGGAUCCGUUAACAGAGGUUCGAAUCCUCUCGUCCCAG